rnacentral:rRNA from 1 species
AUGCCGCCGUGAAUACGUUCCCGGGGCCUUGUACACACCGCCCGUCACACCACGAGAGCUGCAAACACCCGAAGUCGGUGAGGUAACCCGCAAGGGAGCCAGCCGCCGAAGGUGGGGCAAGUGAUUGGGGUGAAGUCGUAACAAGGUAGCCGUACCGGAAGGUGCGGCUGGAUCACCUCCUUUCU